UACGUAGGGCGCAAGCGUUGUCCGGAAUCAUUGGGCGUAAAGCGCGCGUAGGCGGCCCUGUAAGUCCGUUGUGAAAGUCAAAGGCUCAACCUUUGAACGCCGAUGGAUACUGCAGGGCUAGAGUCCGGAAGAGGCGAGUGGAAUUCCUGGUGUAGCGGUGGAAUGCGCAGAUAUCAGGAGGAACACCAAUAGCGAAGGCAGCUCGCUGGGACGGUACUGACGCUAAGGCGCGAAAGCGUGGGGAGCAAACAGG
rnacentral:rRNA from 1 species